GGUCCAGACUCCUACGGGAGGCAGCAGUGGGGAAUUUUGGACAAUGGGCGCAAGCCUGAUCCAGCAAUGCCGCGUGAGUGAAGAAGGCCUUCGGGUUGUAAAGCUCUUUUGUCAGGGAAGAAACGGUCUGCUCUAAUACAGCGGGCUAAUGACGGUACCUGAAGAAUAAGCACCGGCUAACUACGUGCCAGCAGCCGCGGUAAUACGUAGGGUGCAAGCGUUAAUCGGAAUUACUGGGCGUAAAGCGUGCGCAG
rnacentral:rRNA from 1 species